rnacentral:lncRNA from 1 species
CCUCCCUGACCUACCUGGGCCAGAAGCUCUGCCUCGUCGUCUACCCCCACAGCGAGCCCCAGCCCCAUAGCGCGCCCCAUAGCGAGCCCCAUAGCGAGCCCCAUAGCGACCCCCAGCCCCACAGCGACCCCCGGCCCCAUAGCGAGCCCCACGGCGACCCCAAAAGCCCCGGGGAGGAGCAGAAGCCGCUCACCGCCCAGCCCCACAACUGAGCGCUAUGGGGCUGCCCCAUAGCGGUGGGGGGCUGCCCCACACAUUGACCCCAUAGGGCUGCCCCACACAUCCCUAUGGGGCUGCCCCACAUCUUCCUAUAGGGCUGCCCCACACCUCGGCCCUAUGGGGCUGCCCCACAUCUUGACCUCAUGGGGCUGCCCCACACAUUCUAUGGGGCUGCCCCACAAGUGUGCCUUCAGGGGCUGCCCCAUAUCUGAGCCCUAUGGGGCUGCCCCACACAUAUCCCCAUAGGGCUGCCCCGCACCUCCUCACUAUGGGGCUGCCCCACAUAUCCCUAUGGGGUGCCCCACAUCUGAGCCCUAUGGGGCCGCCCCCCAAGUGUGCCUUAAGGGGCUGCCCCACACAUUCUAUGGGGCUGCCCCACAUCUCGACCCCAUAGGGCUGCCCCACAUCUUGUUCCUAUGGGGCUGCCCCACACCUCCUCGCUAUGGGGCAGCCCCACAAGUGUGCCUUCAGGGGCUGCCCCACACCACUAUAGGGUGCCCCACACAUUCUAUGGGGCUGCCCCACACAUUCUAUGGGGCCGCCCCACACCUUCCUAUGGGGCUGCCCCACACCUUGGCCUUAAGGCGCUGCCCCACAGAUUCUAUGGGGCUGCCCCACAUCUCCCUAUGGGGCUGCCCCACACAUUCUAUGGGGCCACCCCACACAUCCUAUAGGGCUGCCCCACACCUCCCUAUGGGGCUGCCCCACAGAUUCUAUGGGGCAGCCCCCCCACACUCCGCCCCGUGCCUUCCCCCCCCAGUGGGGCCCCAAAUAAAUAAAUAAAUAAAUAAAGAGACUUCCCGGAGGGGUUGAUGACGUCA